rnacentral:sRNA from 1 species
GUUUAGCCCCGAUGGAAACGACAUCCUUUUUCCGGUUUCUUUAACCGGGAAAAGAUAUAGUGUAAAGCGGGACAAAAG